GACGAACGCUGGCGGCGUGCCUAAUACAUGCAAGUCGAACGCUGAAGGAGGAGUUUGCUUCUCUGGAUGAGUUGCGAACGGGUGAGUAACGCGUAGGUAACCUGCCCGUUAGCGUGGGAUAACUAUUGGAAACGAUAGCUAAUACCGCAUAAUAGUAGAUGUUGCAUGACAUUUGCUGAAAAGGUGCAAUUGCAUCACUACGAGACGGACCUUCGUUGUAUUGGGGUGUUGGUGGGGUAUCGGCACACCAUGGCGACGAUACAUAGCACAACGGCGAGGGGGAGCAGCCACACUGGGAGUGAGACACGGCCCAGACUCCUUCAGGAAGCAGCAGUAGUGCUUCUUCAGCAAUGAGCGGGAGUCUGACCGAGCUACGCCGCGUGAGUGUAGAAGGUUUUCGGGUCGUAAAGCUCUGUUGUCGGGGAAGAACGAGUGUGAGACUGGAAAGUUCACACUGUGACGGUAUCUUACCAGAAAGCGACGGCUAACUACGUG
rnacentral:rRNA from 1 species